UCCCAGAUGGCGCAGUGGUUAACGCACCUGCCUUCUAAGCAGGAGAUCCCAGGUUCGAAUCCUUGUCCGGUAU